GUGGGGAAUCUUCCGCAAUGGACGAAAGUCUGACGGAGCGACGCCGCGUGAGUGAUGAAGGCCUUCGGGUCGUAAAGCUCUGUCAUCGGGGACGAACGGCCUCAGCAGGUAAUGGCUGGGGAUUGACGGUACCCGAGAAGGAAGCCACGGCUAACUACGUGCCAGCAGCCGCGGUAAUACGUAGGUGGCAAGCGUUGUCCGGAAUUAUUGGGCGUAAAGCGCGCGCAGGUGGGAUCUUAAGUCCAUUUUGAAAGUUCGGAGCUCAACUCCGUGAUGGGAUGGAAACUGGGAUUCUUGAGUACCGGAGAGGAAAGCGGAAUUCCAAGUGUAGCGGUGAAAUGCGUAGAGAUUUGGAAGAACACCAGUGGCGAAGGCGACUUUCUGGACGAUGUCUGACGCUGAGGCGCGAAAGCUAGGGGAGCGAACGGGAUUAGAAACCCGAGUAGUCC
rnacentral:rRNA from 1 species